CGGGGUGAGUAAUGUCUGGGAAACUGCCUGAUGGAGGGGGAUAACUGCUGGAAACGGUAGCUAAUACCGCAUAACGUCGCAAGACCAAAUAGGGGGACCUUCGGGCCUCUUGCCAUCGGAUGUGCCCAGAUGGGAUUAGCUAGUAGGUGGGGUAACGGCUCACCUAGGCGACGAUCCCUAGCUGGUCUGAGAGGAUGGCCAGCCACACUGGAACUGAGACACGGUCCAG
rnacentral:rRNA from 1 species